ACGAACGCUGGCGGCGUGCUUAACCCAUGCCAGUCGAACGGAAAGGCCCUGCUUUUGUGGGGUGCUCGAGUGGCGAACGGGUGAGUAACACGUGAGUAACCUGCCCUUGACUUUGGGAUAACUUCAGGAAACUGGGGCUAAUACCGGAUAGGAGCUCCUGCUGCAUGGUGGGGGUUGGAAAGUUUCGGCGGUUGGGGAUGGACUCGCGGCUUAUCCGCUUGUUGGUGGGGUAGUGGCUUACCAAGGCUUUGACGGGUAGCCGGCCUGGGAGGGUGACCGGCCACAUUGGGACUGAGAUACGGCCCAGACGCCUACGGGAGGCAGCAGUGGGGAAUAUUGCACAAUGGGCGGAAGCCUGAUGCAGCAACGCCGCGUGCGGGAUGACGGCCUUCGGGUUGUAAACCGCUUUCGCCUGUGACGAAGCGUGAGUGACGGUAAUGGGUAAAGAAGCACCGGCUAACUACGUG
rnacentral:rRNA from 1 species